rnacentral:rRNA from 1 species
GUGCCAGCCGCCGCGGUAAUACCGGCAGCUCAAGUGAUGUCCCAUAUUAUUGGGCCUAAAGCGUCCGUAGCUGGCCGUGCGGGUCCGUCGGGAAAUCCGCCCGCUUAACGGGCGGACGUCCGGCGGAAACCAUACGGCUUGGGACCAGAGGACCCGAGGGGCACGUCGGGGGUAGGAGUGAAAUCCCGAGAUCCUCGACGGACCGCCGGUGGCGAAAGCGCCUCGGGAAGAUGGAUCCGACGGUCAGGGACGAAAGCUGGGGUCUCGAACCGGAUUAGAUACCCCAGUAGUCC